GUAGGUGGCAAGCGUUGUCCGGAAUUAUUGGGCGUAAAGCGCGCGCAGGCGGUUCUUUAAGUCUGAUGUGAAGGCCCACGGCUCAACCGUGGAGGGUCAUUGGAAACUGGAGAACUUGAGUACAGAAGAGGAAAGCGGAAUUCCACGUGUAGCGGUGAAAUGCGUAGAGAUGUGGAGGAACACCAGUGGCGAAGGCGGCUUUCUGGUCUGUAACUGACGCUGAGGCGCGAAAGCGUGGGGAGCAAACAGGGAUUAGAUACCCUGGUAGUCCACGCCGUAAACGAUGAGUGCUAAGUGUUAGGGGGGUUUCCGCCCCCUUAGUGCUGCAGCUAACGCAUUAAGCACUCCGCCUGGGGAGUACGGCCGCAAGGCUG
rnacentral:rRNA from 1 species